rnacentral:misc_RNA from 1 species
CUAUGGAGUAUUCGUAGAUUAAGAAAAAAUAAGCUGAGUGAAACGAUAAAACAGCUUUUGAUUAUAUCUCGUUCUAUCUAGUUUUCAGAGAUUGUUUUUUAGGGCCAUUUAGGCCCGAAAGCAAUUUCUGAAAAGAAAAUCGUUCUUUGAAAACUGAAUAUUAGAUGAAAAUAGACAUUUUAUUUUUCUUACGUUUAUAUACAAUAUAAAACGUAUUUAGUAACUUAAUUUAGAUUAAUACUAAGAAAACUAAAAUUUCAUUAAUUUUAUAGAUUAUCUAUAUAUGCAAUAGGUUUUUCUUUAGAAAG